CCGGGGACGCGGGAAACACGAACGCUCGCGGGAAAUAUGUGACAGCAUGAACAUGAGUGUUGUUGUCGUCUCUUAAUUAAGAAAUUGAGUUGUGUGAUGGGCUCAUGUCUGCUGUCAGUGGCUGAACAGCUCUUUAAAGAUCUUCAGAGAACCUACACACAGACAAAACACAUACCAGAUGAUCUACUGAUAGCGUUGCGGUUUGUGUUCGGCCCGUGCGCCCUGCAGGCAUUGGACCUGGUGGAGAAGCGCUCGGUCAAGUGUGUGACAUCACCCAGCGGACGAAAGGUUUUUCAGGUUUUGGGAGGAUCGGGACGUCUGUACACCUGUUACUCGUCCUGUCACUACUGCCCGUGCCCCGCCUUUUCUUUCUCUGUGCUCAGGCGGAACGAGAGUCUGAUGCGCCGGAGCUGCUCUGCUCUCAGGACACAUGAAUGGAGAGAGAGUGGAUUAGCUGUGGCAUGACAACAACCCGCUGGCAUCCCCGUCUCAGUGUCUGUGACCCUCCCUCCUGUUUUAGCCCUCCACACAAAAAUCCCUUCACCACGCUUUCUGCUUCCGCUUCACACCGCACGUCUCUGCCAACACGCUCCAGUUUCAGUGAAAAAACACUUCAGGCCCGGACUGCUUUUAAUGCGUGUGAACAGUGUACGGUGACGCCAUCAGAAACCGCUCUUUGUGAUGUGAUGUGUUUGGGUCGGGACUGUCUGUUUUCCAACCAAUGGCAGACGUAAAGGAGUGUUUGGUAAAAACUUCCUAUGUUGACGAAGAAACUACACUUUCCUCAGUAAAUGCCUCAUUUGAGGAAGGUGAUGCUAUACAGUUGGGCCUUUUUAUCAGCAUGCACGUUCCCUUGGGAUCAAACCCAUGACCUUAGCGUUGCUAUAGCACAAUGCUCUGCGAUUGAUCUACAGGACAAUGAAUGUGGAUAUUCCACCAGCGGAAAGACAUUGGGAUGCAAGAACACGCUCAAUGUUAUAUAAUAGCUGUCUAGUGUUUUGGGAUCUGAGCUCUAUUUAGUCCCCACAGUCUGAGGCCAAGCAGCUCUACAGAGAGAGAGAGAGAGAGAAGUGGUGGUGGUCCAAACCGGUGAAUAAAACCAAAGUGGAGAAUAUUGGCAGCACACUGUGGAAAUCGAGUUCCUCUUGGAUGAUCUACUAACAGCGAUCAAGGCAAGAACCAGUGUUCCCAGUAACCACAGUCCAAGCAGACGCCAGAAACAAGUUCUGCACAUCUUGGCCAUGAAACUGUGAUUCACACAGCAUGACCACCCAGAACGAGGAAUAACUCAAAGCGCUUUAAACACUUCAUUAGAAGUGUUUCCUUAUACCAAACGAUCACCUGUAGAAACUGCACUCCCACAAGACGUGACACAAACUGAUUCAGUUUUUCAUACGUGUCCUAUGUCCGUGAGAUAACACAUGCACUCUUUGUUUGCAUGCUACUCCACAUGCAGCUGCUUUUGUUUGUCUUCUUUCUUCUUUAUAUUCAUUUCAAUUAAGUCUGACCAACACCGAGCAUUGAAAUGAUGCGGCUCUCCAAAACCUGAACGUCAGAUUUGACAUUGACAAAAGCCAGAAUUUCAAGUUCACGUGUGUUCUACGGGCAUCAAACCCACAACCUUUACACUGCUCACACAAUCCUCUAGCAGACGAGCUCCAGGAACAGGAAUUCUAGGAAAUCUACAUCUCAAGACAUCAAUUGUUCUCUCUGAUUCAAGAGUAUUUUCUAAACUCACAUUUUCUGCUUACUCUUUUUAUUGAUUUAUCAACGUUUUGCUACAAUAACCAUAGUUUGACCAUAUGGUAUUUGUAGUAAAACCAAGCGUUACACUACGGCAAUAUCCCAAAACAUGGUUACUACACGUUUACUACAGUAAAACCAUGGUUCCUUCUUCCAAAGUGUAAUUCUAAUUCACCAUAGAGUAUGCGAGGUCGCUUUCUGUCCACGAGCAUCAUCAGGAUAUUUUUAAUAACGGGUGAGUAGACAUGAUGAACAAUAAUGCAGAAUAGAAUCAAUAUGAGUGAUAUGUCUAUUUAACAUCUAAUGCAUUUAACAAGAAUAUGUAUAUAUAUAUAUAUAUUAUUAAUAGGAAUACAUCCAGAAAAUAACAAUUCAAGUGAAUCUAUA